rnacentral:rRNA from 1 species
AAUGAACGCUGGCGGCAGGCCUAACACAUGCAAGUCGAGCGAAGUCUUCGGACUUAGCGGCGGACGGGUGAGUAACGCGUGGGAACAUGCCCUUUGGUGCGGAAUAGCCCCGGGAAACUGGGAGUAAUACCGCAUGUGCCCUUCGGGGGAAAGAUUUAUCGCCAAAGGAUUGGCCCGCGUUGGAUUAGGUAGUUGGUGGGGUAAUGGCCUACCAAGCCGACGAUCCAUAGCUGGUUUGAGAGGAUGAUCAGCCACACUGGGACUGAGACACGGCCCAGAAUCCUACGGGAGGCAGCAGUGGGGAAUCUUAGACAAUGGGCGCAAGCCUGAUCUAGCCAUGCCGCGUGAUCGAUGAAGGCCUUAGGGUUGUAAAGAUCUUUCAGUGGGGAAGAUAAUGACGGUACCCACAGAAGAAGCCCCGGCUAACUCCGUG